GCUGCCUUAGCUCACUUGGCAGAACAUCAGAGGACAAAUCUGGAGAGUACGGGUUCAAAUCCCGUCGGCAAUC
rnacentral:tRNA from 1 species